GGCAAGAUGGCCGAGCGGUCUAAGGCGCCGCACUCAAGUUCCACAACUUACCACAUCGAAUGUGGUUUGCGGUCUCGAAAGAGGCGUGGGUUCAAAUCCCACUCUUGUCA
rnacentral:tRNA from 1 species